rnacentral:rRNA from 1 species
GUGGGAGUGAUAAGUUAGUCGUCGGGUGUUAUAGCUGUGUGGCGGGGAGUGUUAUAGAUUYAGCGACCGGGUGAUGAGAUCCGAUCACUGACUAUAUUUGUUAUUCUGGCUAGUAGACUUGGGUUGAGGAUACCCCUGUCUAAUGAGUAUGUUACUAUUCUUACAGAGUUUAUAUGCAAAUUAGUUUUGAUUCCCGCCUAUAUUAAUAAUUUGAAAAUUAUCAAUUGUCUAAUAAGUAAUUAUAUUAAUCGUAUUUAAUCUCGUUGCUGCCCCGACUGUUUAUUAAAAACAUUUCUCUGUGGUAGGUUUACAGAGUAAGGCCUGCCCGGUGCUUCGGUAAACGGCCGCAGUAUUUUGACUGUGCNAAGGUAGCAUAAUUAAUUGCCCCAUAAUUGGGGGCUUGUUUGAAUGGCCUUUCGAGGGCAGUUUUUANAUUACGGUUAUACAUGAAAUUAACAUCGUGAGUACAGAGUCUACGGUGGUUAAUAAGACGGAAAGACCCCGGGAUCUUUUUUUUUUGUCUGGGGCGGAUUUUAUUUCUUCAAUUAAUUUGGGACCCUUGGAUUAUAGGUUUAAGUUACCCCGGGGAUAACAGGGUAAUAGCUCAGUAGAGAUCUGAUCGAAUGAGCUGUUUG